GGCCGCCUGGCGAAAUGGCAUCGCGUCUGACUACGAUUGAAGCUUCCUGCUUAAUCCACGAUCAGGAGAUUGCAGGUUCGACCCCUGCGGUGGUCA